UUGUCAGUAGCAUAGUGGUUAAUGCACAGCCCCGGAUAGGUUGAGAGGCGAGUUCGAAUCCCGCCUUAGAUG
rnacentral:tRNA from 1 species